rnacentral:rRNA from 1 species
CAGCAGCCGCGGUAAUACGUAGGGAGCGAGCGUUGCCCGGAAUCAUUGGGCGUAAAAAGCUCGUAGGCGGCUUGGUAAGUCGGAUGUGAAACCUCCAGGCUCAACCUGGAGUCGCCAUCCGAUACUGCCAUAGCUAGAGUCCGGUAGGGGCCCACGGAACUCCUGGUGUAGCGGUGAAAUGCGCAGAUAUCAGGAAGAACACCGGUGGCGAAGGCGGUGGGCUGGGCCGGCACUGACGCUGAGGAGCGAAAGCGUGGGGAGCGAACAGGAUUAGAUACCCGUGUAGUCCCUGUCUCUUAUA